rnacentral:rRNA from 1 species
UACGGGAGGCAGCAGUAGGGAAUCUUCCGCAAUGGACGAAAGUCUGACGGAGCAACGCCGCGUGAACGAUGAAGGCUUUCGGGUCGUAAAGUUCUGUGUUAGGGAGACAAGUACCGGAGUAACUGCCGGUACCUUGACGGUACCUAACCAGAAAGCCACGGCUAACUACGUGCCAGCAGCCGCGGUAAUACGUAGGUGGCAAGCGUUGUCCGGAAUUAUUGGGCGUAAAGCGCGCGCAGGCGGUCCUUUUAAGUCUGAUGUGAAAGCCCACGGCUCAACCGUGGAGGGUCAUUGGAAACUGGGGGACUUGAGUGCAGAAGAGGAGAGUGGAAUUCCACGUGUAGCGGUGAAAUGCGUAGAGAUGUGGAGGAACACCAGUGGCGAAGGCGACUCUCUGGUCUGUAAACUGACGCUGAGGCGCGAAAGCGUGGGGAGCGAACAGGGAUUAGAUACC